rnacentral:rRNA from 1 species
UUCCUGUACCAGUGCUAAUUGUUUAACCGAUGGGGUGACACAGAAGGAUAGGGAAUCGCACGAAUGGAAAUGUGCGUCCAAGCAGUGAGUGUGAGAAGUAGGCAAAUCCGCUUCUCGCGAAGCAUGAGCUGUGAUGGGGAAGGAAAUUAAGUACGGAAGUUCCUGAUUUCACGCUGUCAAGAAAAGCCUCUAGGAAGAGUAGUACUGCCCGUACCGCAAACCGACACAGGUAGAUGAGGAGAGAAUCCUAAGGUGAGCGAGAGAACUCUCGUUAAGGAACUCGGCAAAAUGACCCCGUAACUUCGGGAGAAGGGGUGCUCUAUUAGGGUGCAAGCCCGAGAGAGCCGCAGUGAAUAGGCCCAGGCGACUGUUUAGCAAAAACACAGGUCUCUGCAAAACCGUAAGGUGACGUAUAGGGGCUGACGCCUGCCCGGUGCUGGAAGGUUAAGAGGAGUGCUUAGCUUCGGCGAAGGUACGAAUUGAAGCCCCAGUAAACGGCGGCCGUAACUAUAACGGUCCUAAGGUAGCGAAAUUCCUUGUCGGGUAAGUUCCGACCCGCACGAAAGGCGCAACGAUCUGGGCACUGUCUCAACGAGAGACUCGGUGAAAUUAUAGUACCUGUGAAGAUGCAGGUUACCCGCGACAGGACGGAAAGACCCCGUGGAGCUUUACUGCAACCUGAUAUGGAAUGUUUGUACCGCUUGUACAGGAUAGGUAGGAGCCGAAGAGACGUGUGCGCUAGCAUACGAGGAGGCAAUGGUGGGAUACUACCCUGGCUGUAUGACCAUUCUAACCCGCCACGCUUAGCGCGUGGGGAGACAGUGUCAGGUGGGCAGUUUGACUGGGGCGGUCGCCUCCUAAAGAG